rnacentral:rRNA from 1 species
UACAGAGGGUGCGAGCGUUACUCGGAAUUACUGGGCGUAAAGCGUGCGUAGACGGUUAUUUAAGUCAGAUGUGAAAGCCCCGGGCUCAACCUGGGAAUUGCAUUUGAGACUGAAUAGCUAGGGUACGGUAGAGGGAAGUGGAAUUUCCGGUGUAGCGGUGAAAUGCGUAGAUAUCGGAAGGAACAUCAGUGGCGAAAGCGACUUCCUGGACCAGUACCGACGUUCAGGCACGAAAGCGUGGGGAGCAAACAGG